CUACAGUCUACAUCAAACCAUAUUUAACUUCGAGCUCACCCGUCUAGAGCUGUCUUGUUUUUAUUUUAUUUUUAAUUAUUAUUUUUUAUUUAUUCUCAAAAUUCUAACGCCCGUACGUAUAGAGCCGUCUUGUCAUAUGUAUAUUUUUUUUCUUGUUUUGUAUAAAAAAAAGGAAGAAGAAGAAGAAGAAGAAGAAGAAGAAGAAGAAGAAGAAGAUAAAAGAAUAAUACUUCUUGUACAGCAAAUGUUCACAGCAUUUCAAAAUGGGCUGAUGUGGAAGUAGGCGGGAACGGCUUCACAUGGCAAUUCAGGGAAAGACGGGUUAUUUGGAUUUGGUCAUUAUUUCAUUUUUUACAACCCGGCCUGUUUCAAUAAUUCCCAUUAUUCAUCUAUUCCCACCGUCAAAAGUUAGAUUCCCCAAUACCCAGAAGCGAAACCCGUGAGCAAUUUAUUUCCCGACAGAUCUAAGUGUGCAAUGGGUUCAUUUCCGGUGAGAACACGAAAAAUUUUCUGAGCUCUGGGUCUGGUUUAGUAGACGUCCACCUCUCACGACUUGGCCACUGGGCCAUUUCCGUUCAGGAGUUCUUUUCCAAGUAGAAUCCUCUCUCGCUACGGUGUCGGUUAGAACACGAAAAAACAUUCACAAUACUGGGUCCCGGUGACAUCCUCCUCUCACUACACCCCAGCAUUUCCAUUCAGAGUUUUUUCCCGCUAGACAUGACAUCCACUCUCGCGACCACAGACGAGGAACAAAAGGUUGCGAAAGGUAGAAUCCAAACUUUAUUGGACUUGCACUUUGAAAAUAUACAAUUACAUGUCUAUGCAUCUCAGAAGUAUUUGGCCAUCUAUGAAGUAGCGUAAUGAGUUAUCUGCGAUGACAUUAUCUUUAAUGAAGCUAAAUUUGUGUGAAAUUGCAAAUUUUGUGGAUGAUUUCGUUGUCCAUCUGAGCUAUUUUUGGUGUUGUGGUGGUGGUGGGUGGUCGUGAAUUUUGUGGCCAUCCUGCAUAUAAAGCAUAACAUUUCUGUUCAUUUCAUUUUUGCUCCAUGCCCUUUUACUAUUUCUAUUGGAAAUGUUUUAAAUGAGCAUCUUUGAGUUCAAUACUAGUUAAGAAUUUUGAUUUAAGUGUUUUAUGGAAACCUUUGUCCCAUAUAAAAACUACUGGGAAAAUGUUUGGUUUAAUAAGGCUCAAGUAUGGGAUUUGGGGUUUGACCCUAAAGGGUACCUAAUUUUGUGGAAAGAGUGAAUUUUGCCUAUUUUUGGUGUUGUGAGAUUGCUAAUAUUAUAUUGCUUAGUGUAAUGAAACCGUAUUGUGAUUAACCUGCUUCCGGUAUUGUAUUUCCCUUUUUUCUAAUACUAGACAUAUGGCUUUGUUGAUUUCGAUGUAUGAAAAGAAAUAACGGUAGUAUUGGAUGAUGAAGUAUUUGUAGAAUCCAAUGAUGAGAACUUGAUGGACAAUGUAAUCACAUUAGAAGAUGAUAAUGUAGGAGGGGAUGCUACGAUUGCGCUGGAAGUGGGUAAUCACAUUCUAACCACUGAUGCUACCCUCUCAAAGUGCAGUAGCAGGUUGGAUGUACAGUGCCUCCCAAUCAUCAAUAGCACCAUUAUUCAUGCCUACUAGUGAACAUCAAUAGGUGGUUAUAUUAUGCAAUGUAAACACGUAGAUUUUUUUUCUCUGGUUUGGUUUAAGAUGUGACGAUUUUCAGAUUGUAAUGAAUGAUGUACAUCAAGCUCUUUUGUCAGCUUUGUUCAAAUUGGAUUCUUGAGUGAUGCCUUUGUACAUUUUUGUUUGGCUUUCUAUUAAGUAAUGCAUUUUAUGAGGCAAAUGGACCUCUAUUUUGG
rnacentral:lncRNA from 1 species